GCUGCCGUGCAACCCACCUGGGUGCUUGGCACAUCCUGGGUUUUUUCCCUCUCUCGUCACAUCAGAACACCCUGGCAUCCUCAGGUCCAGAGGGACUUUGAGAAAAAGGAUUCCCAGUGAGACAAGCAAGCAGCUGGUGGGGAAGAGAGAAGAGGCCGCAGGCUGGAGAGGAGCAGGAGAAACCCCCCUGGCAUCACCAGGCCACCUGUGGGGAACAGAACGGACACUUUGGGAGUAAAAAGAGGAAAGGGACGCACAUCCCUGCCUUCAGCGCACCUCCAGUGGGACCCACCUGAAAAAGCUUUCCAUCACUUCUUCAUCAGCUUCCAGCUGGCUCCCUGAAAAACUCCAAACUUCAUCCAAAC